rnacentral:rRNA from 1 species
UACGUAGGUGGCAAGCGUUGUCCGGAUUUACUGGGCGUAAAGAGCGCGCAGGCGGUCGUUCAAGUCGCGUGUGAAAGCCCCCGGCUCAACUGGGGAGGGUCACGCGAUACUGAUCGACUCGAAGGCAGGAGAGGGUAGUGGAAUUCCCGGUGUAGUGGUGAAAUGCGUAGAGAUCGGCAGGAACACCAGUGGCGAAGGCGGCCACCUAGCCCGCACCUGACGCUGAGGCGCGACAGCGUGGGGAGCGAACUGG